rnacentral:rRNA from 1 species
CCUACGGGAGCUGCAGUGGGGAAUAUUGGACAAUGGGCGAAAGCCUGAUCCAGCCAUGCCGCGUGUGUGAAGAAGGCCUUCGGGUUGUAAAGCACUUUCAGUGGGGAAGAAAGCCUUGGGGCUAAUACCCUCGAGGAAGGACAUCACCCACAGAAGAAGCACCGGCUAACUCCGUGCCAGCAGCCGCGGUAAUACGGAGGGUGCGAGCGUUAAUCGGAAUUACUGGGCGUAAAGCGCGCGUAGGCGGUCUGAUAAGCCGGUUGUGAAAGCCCCGGGCUCAACCUGGGAACGGCAUCCGGAACUGUCAGGCUAGAGUGCAGGAGAGGAAGGUAGAAUUCCCGGUGUAGCGGUGAAAUGCGUAGAGAUCGGGAGGAAUACCAGUGGCGAAGGCGGCCUUCUGGACUGACACUGACGCUGAGGUGCGAAAGCGUGGGUAGCAAACAGGAUUAGAUACCCUAGUAGUC